ensembl:snoRNA
AGUCCCGUUUAAGUACCGUCCACUCGCAUCCCCAUGAAUGGACGGCUAUGCUAACGGGACAGAACAACACUGUCAUGAUCUGAGGGUGUGGCUAACUAACUGUGUACCUCACUAAAUGAAACGACAGGACAUCCUAAU